GGGGCUGACUGGAUUUGACAGCGAGAUGAAGUGGUAUGUAAGCAUGCAGUGAGUCGCUGGCCCUCACUAUAAUAUCAGUCUGCAAAAGUUUAAUUGGCGAAAAUUCUUACGCUCUCGCUGCUUAAUCGAAGUAUAGUAGAUUAGCCUUAUUUCCUUGCCAGGCGAGGAAACGAGACAUCGCCCUGGAAGCUGUUGUUCCGAAGCGUCCAGAUCAGCGGUGCUAAAAAUUCGGGAAUAGUCCUACGUAGCCUCAUGCGUAGGAUGAAAUUUAGAGGAUAAGGAUGUGAUUGGUGGUUCAGGUCUUGUCACAUCACGAAAACCGAAGUCUGAAAUAAGCAUGUAGAAAGCGUAUGGCUUCCUUGUUUGGACGAGGGUUCAAUCCCCUCCAGCUCCACAA
rnacentral:tmRNA from 1 species